rnacentral:rRNA from 1 species
GACGAACCGUGCGAAUGUUGUUCGGAAUCACUGGGCUUAAAGGGCGCGUAGGCGGGCGAUCAAGUCAGGGGUGAAAUCCUCCGGCUCAACCGGAGAACUGCCUUUGAUACUGGUCAUCUCGAGUGAGGUAGGGGCAUGCGGAACUGAUGGUGGAGCGGUGAAAUGUGUUGAUAUCAUCAGGAACUCCGGUGGCGAAAGCGGCGUGCUGGACCUUUACUGUACG